AGAUUAGGGCAGAUUUUUAAAAACCCAAAUUCGAAUCUAACUAUUAAUCCAAAAUUCGAACCUGAAUUCGAAUCCCAUAAAUUUUAAAAAUUCAUACCUAAUCCCGAAUCAAACCAAAAAUCUGAAAUUUGAACUCGGAACAUAUUUUUCUCUAUCAUAUUUCAAAAUAUAUUAUAUUAAAUAGGCUGGGGCUACUAUACUCUUAUGAGUAUAGAACCCCUUAUACUAAUAAAUUUUUAACCGUUGAUUGAUGGGAUGUGUGGUUAGGAUGAUGGUGGUCCACUAGGGUUGAGUCGGUAGUUGGUUGAAUAGUAUGAUCUAACGGGUGGAAAUGAUCAUGGAAUAAAUCUAAGGGCCGAAAACUUAUGAAUAUAAGGGAGCCAAUACUUAUAAAAGUAUAGUAACCGGACUCUAUUAAAUAUAUAUUUUUAAAAUAUAAAUUCAAAUAUAAAGAGAGAGAGAGAGAGAGAGAGAGAGAGAGAGAGAGAGAGAGAGAGUCUGGCUAUGGUGCUUUUAAAAGCGCAAAGUAUUUGAUGCUUGUAAGUUUUUGCUGUUAGGUCUAUCCCUUUGAUCAUUUCUAAUUGUUAGAUCAACCAAAUACUCACUCAAUUCUAGGGGACCACUAUCAUUCUAACCACACAUUCCUUAAUCUAAAGACCGAAGACCUGCAAGCACAGAUGACUUAGUACUUUCAAAGCAUAGGAGUUCAAUUCUAUAUAUAGAGUCCUGCUUUGGUACUUUUAAAUGCACAAAGCACUCGGUGCUUAUAAGUUUUUCACCGUUGGAUCUACCCAUCUGAUUAUUUCUAACCGUUAAAUCAUACUAUUCAACCAAACACCCAUGCAACCCUUAGAUCAUACUGUAUAAUAUAUAUAUAUAUAUAUAUAUAUAUAUAGAGAGAGAGAGAGAGAGAGAGAGAGAGAGAGAGAGAGAGAGAGAGAGAGAGAGAGAGAGUCUGUCUGGGAUGCUAUCGAUAGCACCAAGCGUUUGGUGCUACUGAGUUUUCCGCCGUUAGAUUUAACCAUUUGACUAUUUUUACAUGUUAGAUUAUACUAUUCAACCAAUAACUCACUUAACCUUAAGGGGCCAACAUCAUCGUCACCGUACAUUUUUUUCAUCCAAAAAUCGAAAACCUAAUAGCAUCAAUAGCUUGAUACUGUUGAUAGUAU
rnacentral:lncRNA from 1 species